rnacentral:lncRNA from 1 species
AUGCACCCUUACCUCAGCCCUGCAUCAGCCCCAGGGUGGGCGUUCCCCCGGUCUGUUGGAGUGGCCCUGGGGACCAGCACCAUCCAUAGUGCCUUUCCCAGCUCACCAGUGUCAAGUACUACAGAUCCACCCCACUGGAGAAAGAUAACACAGAGGUGUCUACACCACAAAAUGGAGUUUGAUGGAGAAAACAGUGCUGACCAAGAACUGACUUUAUGUAAAGCUACUCAGAUGGAAGAUUCUGAUUCAGAAGACACAGGUGGGUAGAGAGAGCUGUGGUUUACAUCCACUGAUGUUAACAAGCUGUGAAGUUUAAUAACCAAAGAAACUUCACAAACUGAAGGCCAUGACACUGCGCCUAAGGAGUACUGUACCCUAGUCUUGCUGCCAGGUGAACACAUCAAUUUCUGAGCUUUCACAGGGAAUAUCAAGAUCUGGAGCUUAGAUCAUCUGGCGUUGACUGUGUUCUGGAUGAAGAUGACUUAAAAUUGUUCAUAAGGUUUUAGAAGGGAAACAGGCAAACACAUACUCUCCAAACACACACAGUCAGUUAAACAUGAAAAAAAAAAGUGAAUAUUCUUUCGAGGCAAAUAUUUUCUGUGCACUUGGUCUUGUAAAUUUCAUUUUCCAGUAUGAUGGAAAUCAAUGUACAUGUUCCAUUCACAUACAAUAAAAUAUCUGUGAAGGUUUUGUUCUCUCA